AUACAUUACUCUCUCCACACAGCGAAUAUAACCAGAAGCAAAAGAGAGAGAGAGAAUCUAGAGCAAGAGAGAGAAGGAGAGGAAGAAGAAGAGGAGCUGGGGUCAUACUCACCGUCUUCUUCUUAUCAAAUUCAUACCUAGCUCAUAAUUGCUUUUGCAUAUGGAGUAAUUAAGGCGUAGAAUUUCGUUUUGUUUACUCAUUGAUUUUGUUUUCAUGGGUAACAAAGGAAGGGUUUCUUUCCAGCUGGUCAAAUUGGAGAAUUCCAACAACAUGUUGGAGGGUCCUUCCUAUCUUGUGUCAAGGGAGUUGCCGAGCUCAUGCGAGCAGGAGAGCAAAUGGAUUUACAAUACUCACCGUGUUAUGGAGCUCUCAAACAAUAAGCGCCCCCUUGCAGACGGGGAAGAACUCACAUUGAGGAAGGCAUGCAAGCUAUCAGAUGCUGUUCUAGGAGGUGAAGCAGUUGUGGAUCUAAAUGGCCUUUCUCUUUCCCCUGCCAAGGACCAGUCAAAUGACCAGCAUCAUGAAGGUGGAAAUUCUGAUUCAAGUUCACUAAUCAACCAACUUGGUCGGGAUAACUCAAUAAGCUGUCUCCUUCGCUGCUCGAGGUCUGAUUAUGGCUCAAUUGCCUCAUUGAAUAAAAACUUCCGCUCUCUAAUUCGGAGUGGGGAGCUGUACACACUGAGGCGGAAAAUGGAUAUUGUUGAACAUUGGGUUUACUUCUCUUGCAACCUCCUUGAAUGGGAGGCAUUUGAUCCCGAUCGCAGACGUUGGAUGCAUUUGCCUAGAAUGACGUCAAAUGAUUGUUUCAUGUGUUCGGACAAGGAGUCGUUGGCCGUUGGUACCGAACUUCUUGUUUUUGGAAAGGAAAUAACGUCCCAUGUUAUUUAUAGAUACAGCAUUUUGACCAACACGUGGUCAUCCGGCACUAAGAUGAAUACACCUAGAUGCUUGUUCGGUUCUGCUAGCCGUGGGGAAAUUGCAAUUCUAGCUGGUGGUUGCGAUCCACGUGGCAAUAUCUUGAACUCUGCUGAGCUGUAUAAUUCAGAAACAGGAACUUGGCUGACUCUUCCAAGCAUGAAUAAACCUAGAAAAAUGUGUUCUGGGGUAUUUAUGGAUGGGAAGUUUUAUGUCAUUGGUGGGAUAGGAGUGGGCGAUCCAAAGCAACUAACAAGCGGAGAGGUGUACGAUUUGGAGAAGACGACCUGGACUGAGAUACCAAACAUGUUCCCUGGACGAAAUGGAGGAGCUGGGGCAGCUGAGGCGCCUGCUGCAGCUGAGGCACCUCCUCUGCUUGCAGUGGUAAAUAACAUAUUGUAUGCUGCAGAUUAUGCAGAAAAGGAGGUGAGGAAAUACGAUAAGGAGAAGAACGUGUGGGUGGCUGUUGGGAGAUUGCCUGAGCGGGCUGUCUCGAUGAAUGGUUGGGGAUUAGCAUUUAGGGCAUGUGGUGAUCGGUUAAUUGUGAUUGGUGGACCUAGGGUAUUAGGAGGAGGGACAAUUGAACUUAAUUCUUGGGUCCCUGAUGGAAGCUCACCACAAUGGGACCUGCUUGCCAGAAAACCGUCUGGCAGCUUUGUGUAUAAUUGUGCGGUGAUGGGAUGCUAAGAUCUGGUUUCAGUGACACCGUGUGUGCUGUGUGGAAUCCUGGGUGGAAUUUGCAAUCUUCGCUUUUCAAGGAGAUGGGGUUCCGGCUCGUGGAUUCUGGAGUGAGGACGUGGCUUGAUUCUAUGAAUGUACACGAAGGGAGGGGUGUUUUGAAAUCAUAAAUUUGGAAACACAAAAUAAGAAACAGUAAUUCAGAUACAUUGCUGAUGUAGCAACCGCUUGUGCAUUGAAAGAGAUGAUGAGGCUUACAUGAAUGUGUCCAGAAAAGCUGUGGGGUUUCUUUUUUCCUGUGAUUAGCGACGAAGAAAGUGAGAUUCGGCACUCUAUUUGUCCCUGUCUGUUUGUUUAGGAAGUAAAGGUGAAAUAGCAUAUCUGUAAUCUCAGCUGUUCCUCUGGAUAUAAUUGAAUUGAUCCUUUUAAUCCCAGAUCAGUGGUUUGAGAUUUUAUUUUAUUUUUGCCUUAUUUAUAGAAUUUCCAGCCAAUUUUUAUCAGAACAUAGAAUUGGAUAUUUGUUUACUUAGACAGUUCUAAUUCUUACAUUCUGUUCUAGUCUCCCCAGAUUUUCUAUUGCUCUUCUUGAGAGAGAGAGAGAGAGAGAGAGAGAGAGAGAGACAGACAGACAGACAGACAGACAGACAGCCAGUGUAAGUUUCUCAAGAGAAGUAAGUAUAUAGAAAAACAGAAAGGCACAAAGAAAAAAAAAAAAUUACAAUAUGUGAAAUCUGCAAUCAUUCAGCAGACCUGUAUUCUUUUUUGGGUUAUUUUUAAGUCUCAUAAAAUCUAGUACUUAGAUAUCAUUCAGAAGACAUUGAUUAGGCCUGUAAAUAUUCUCUCUUUUUCUCUCUUUUCCUGGUAUUUUUUAAUUGGGUUGUUUUUGUUUACCCUUUUAUCACAGUUACAGGGUUUAUAGGCCACAUGGUCAUAUUCUUUUACUGUACUACGUUACCGCCGAAAAAGCAUAAAAAUUCCAUGUAGGUUGCCUGGAUCUCUGCAAGACGGUACUUUUAGCUGCAGAAGGAAAAAAAAUAUGAAAAAAGAAAUCUUUGUUGGAGGAAAUCCACCAGAAAAUAAAGAUAAUAAAAGUACAAAGAACUGUACCUUAAUGUGGAAAACGGAUUCUGACUGAGCUGCUGGGUUUGUGCCAUGGACCCCACGAGGACCUCUGUUUUCAGUGCUCACGUGGGCAGCGCGUUUGCCUCAUUAAACUCACUGCCUGCUCUGUUUUCCGCCUAUCAAAAUGCAGAGGAAAGAAGAAGAAGAAGAUGAUGAUGAAAGAAGACGACAAACUUCAAUUCAUUUUUGUACUUACUGGCAUGUGCUUUUACUGCUUUCUUUUUCUUUUACCUUUUCUUUUAUCCUUGUGCGGCUGUGCAUGUGGAGUUUGGUAAAUUUACCAUCGGUAAUAAAAUGGCAGUUUCUUUC